GACAGAGGUGCCAAGCGUUAGGCGGAAUCACUGGGCUUAAAGCGUGUGUAGGCGGGCGGGCAAGUACCUUGUGAAAUCCCACGGCUCAACCGUGGAACGGCUGGGUAUACUGCCUGUCUUGAGCCAGCUAGGGGCGACCGGAACAGACGGUGGAGCGGUGAAAUGCGUAGAUAUCGUCUGGAACGCCAAAGGUGAAAACAGGUCGCUGGGGCUGAGCUGACGCUGAGACACGAAAGCUAGGGGAGCAAAUGGG
rnacentral:rRNA from 1 species